ensembl:lncRNA
GAAAGAGAAGGCAAAUGUCAGCUGUGUGUCAAAAUGGCAGCCAGCUGCAGAGUGGGCUGGAGCGACCAGACAUGCUGGCAGAGAGACAGAGUUCAGGCAGACAGACAGAGAGACAGACAAGCCGGCAGGGAGACAGACGGACAGACAGACAAACAAACAGGAAUCCAUGCAUGCAGGCAGAGAAACAGACACGUAGAUAAAUAGACAACAGUAGUAUGCAGUAGCAGCAGUAUGCAGGUAUUCAGCGAGGAGUGGCAGUUCUAAAGUGCGCACAUCUCUAUUUAGUCAGGGUGUGUUUCCAGGAAGCACGUUCACACGCCAUUAAAUUACAAAUGAUGUUGUUGAUCAGGCUGAAAUCCAUAAAAUGAGCUCCAUUAUGGAUUACUUCCUCCAGUUCCCUCCCAUCCAUAAGUUCCAGGGCCAUCUGUCAACGCCCAGAGACACAAACUUUUGUCUGGUUGAACAGCCGUGAGGAAGGGAAAGAGGGCGAGAGAGAGCGGGAUGGAGAAUGGUAGAAAGAUAGAGAGACAAGGGAGGACAGGAAGGGAGAGAAAGAGAGGGAGAGUGGUAGAGAGAUAGAGAGACAAGGGAGGACAGGAAGGGAGAGAGAGAGCGGGAUGACAAGUGGUAGAAAGAUAGAGAGACCAGGGAGGACAGGAAGGGAGAGAGAGAGUGGGAUGGAGAGUGGUAGAGAGAUGGGAGACAAGGGAGGACAGGAAGGGAGAGAGAGAGCGGGAUGGAGAGUGGAGAGAGAAAGAGAGAGAGGUCGAGUGAUCCCAGGCCAAGACUCUGCGUGUGUCCUCACCGCCUACCCAGAAGCCCUGGCUGCAGCCAGUGGCUGCAUUCUCUCACAGCCCAAGGUCAGGAGCAGGAAGUCACGGAGACACGCAGACAGGGAGAGACAGAGAAAAGAGAGAGAGAUACAGAGGGCAGGAUAGAGCGACAGAGAGAGAAAGAGACACACAAAGCGAUAGAGAGAGACACAAAGAGAGAUAGAGAGAGACACAGAGAGAGAGAGAGAGAGACAGAGAAAACGAUGGUGAGCGAGAAAGAAAAAGAGCAUGUACACUGAAGUUUAGUUGUUUUGAUAGUGUGAACAGUGCAGAUGGGACUGCCUGCGUUCGUGCGUGUGUGCGUGCACCACAAUAAAACACAGCUGUUUUUUAUACCAUAAUGAUUAAUAAUCACCUCAUAACUGCUGUGCUAAUAAACUGAGCAAAGCACACAUACUUACACAGACACAAACACACACUUUCGGUCCCUUAUAGUCAUCACCUUACCAGGCUAGUGUUCCCACACAAGGUCAGAGUUUCGCCACGUUUUCUAUUCGCGUUAGCACCUUUAGACCUCGCACAAUGGUUUUCCUCUCACACACACGUUAAC